GUGGGGAAUAUUGGGCAAUGGGCGAAAGCCUGACCCAGCCACGCCGCGUGAGUGAUGAAGGCCUUCGGGUUGUAAAGCUCUGUGGGGAGGGAAGAAAAAGCGGGAGAGUAACUGCUCUCGUGUUGACGGUACCUCCUUAGCAAGCACCGGCUAACUCUGUGCCAGCAGCCGCGGUAAUACAGAGGGUGCAAACGUUGCUCGGAAUUACUGGGCGUAAAGCGCGUGUAGGCUGACAUGCAAGUCGGGUGUGAAAUCCCAGGGCUCAACCUUGGAACUGCACUCGAAACUGCACGUCUUGAGUACUGGAGAGGGAAGCGGAAUUCCGGGUGUAGAGGUGAAAUUCGUAGAUAUCCGGAGGAACACCAGUGGCGAAGGCGGCUUCCUGGACAGUAACUGACGCUGAGACGCGAAAGCGUGGGGAGCAAACAGGAUUAGAAACCCGAGUAGUCC
rnacentral:rRNA from 1 species